rnacentral:rRNA from 1 species
UACGUAGGGUCCAAGCGUUAUCCGGAAUUACUGGGCGUAAAGCGUGUGUAGGCGGGAGCUUAAGUGCAAUGCGAAAUCUUGUGGCUCAACCAUAUAGACUGUAUUGCAUACUGGACACCUUGAGGAUGGCAGAGGCAAGUGGAAUUUGUAGUGUAGCAGUGAAAUGCGUAGAUAUUACAAGGAACACCGAUGGCGAAGGCAGCUCGCUGGGACGGUACUGACGCUGAGACGCGAAAGCGUGGGGAGCAAACAGG